GCUGAUGAAGUGAUGAGUUUUCAUGUCUCUUCUCUGACUUGUGUUCAUGGAGAGAAUUUAAACACCUCUGAUCUCAGC